rnacentral:sRNA from 1 species
CUGUUUCUAUCUGGGUAGGGCUUAUAAAAUGAAUAUGGGUGUCGAUACCGCCGGCGGUAAGAAUAUACCCCGCGCCGCCAUGUACUUCCGUAGAAGCGCCAAUGAUCAUAUUGGGUGAAAUGUUAUCGGAAGUAUCCGGGUUGCCGGCACAGCCCACCCCCACAAUUUUUCCGUCCUUAAUGCCCACAUCACCCUUUACGAUACCCCAGUGGUCAAUCACAAUUACAUCGGUAAUAACCAGGUCCAGCACGCCCUGAUCGCGCACCGCGGUAGACGAUUGGCACAUGCCAUCCCGG